GUAACCACACCCCUUCUCCUGUUGAAGUGCUUUCCUGAUUUGCCGGCCCUGUAUUCCUAGCCUUCCCUCUAACGCUCGCCUUAGGUAUGUCCUUGUCCCUGCAUGUUCAGUGAGGAACCGUACUUCGCCGCUGACCUCGUCGUUCCAGUUAUAACUGUUAAGCCUCAUCUGCUUAGCCAGUGAGACUCCGUGACCGUGCUGAAGGGCCUGAUCACAAAGGUGCUGCUGUUUUGUUUAGCCUGACAAUGCCUGUAUGAUCCAGCAUGCUCGUUACUCUGCCAAACUGUUGUUUUGCAUGUUAGUCUGACAUAUCUGAGCUGGGUUUUCGUUUUCUUUGUCAUGUUCUUUUUGUCUGGGCAUUGUACCAUCUUGUCAACUCCAAUGGGGUAACGCUUCUGUCUGGUGUAUUUUCUGUCUGCAUGUGACUGGAUAAGGCUGGUGGCGCUGUAGCUGUCCUGGUGCAUGUUGGUUAUUUGUUCUGGUCUGUAGUUAGUCUCUAUAGAUAAUUGCUAUUAUUGUCUGAGUGAUUCAUGCUUAUGAUGGACUGUUGGUAUCUCCUGGUGCAAUAAUUGUUUUCAUUUUAUUUAUUAAGCAGUUGCUAGGUGCUUCCAGAGGGAGGCUAGGCACCUGGUGGUGGGCCCCUGUCACUGCAUGCGGGUGUAUCAAGCUGGUUAGUGGGUGUGCCGUGUUGUGCUGUGUGUGCAGUGUGCUGUGGGUUGCUUGCCGUGUCAUAGUUCACCUUAUAACCACUUCUUUGAGUGUGUGUGUGUGCACGUGUGAGCGGUGUGGAUCCAAGAGCACGCCGUCUGCUAGUCUGCCUCCCUCAGGUAAGUCCUAUUUAGCACUGCCUAGACUCUAGUCUAAUAGUUUCCCUGUUUUAGCCUUACUGAC
ensembl:lncRNA